UUUUGAGUUCAUUUCACAACUGACUCCGUGAUGUCUGUGCCCGUUCUUAGAUACUCACCUAUUUCUCGCAUACAAAUUAUAAAAAUCUUGUAGGCUUUAUGCGGCUGCCUCGAUAACGAACAUUCGAUUCAUAGAAUAGCUCUAUAGAUUAUGUUGUAAUUAUCGGUAUCUAACUUUAACAGGUCUAUUCUGUCGUGGUAACAAAAUUUACCUAGCACGCUCAACAAAAGCGGUUCUUCUCUACGGUUUUGGCGCCAGUUGAGAAUACCAAGUGAGACCAACUCGCUCUCCACCUGAUUCUUCCACCGUAGUGGAGGUCUAUUCCACUUUCACCGUUUCCACCGGCCGUUACUGAAGCGCUUUUAUUCAUUCGGACGACAUGGUCUUCAUUUGCUGAACUAUGUAUAUUAAUGUCAUCGUAUAACUCGUACAGCUCAUCAUUUAAAGCCUAAGGCCCGUUUUCACAAUGUGUGAUUGACUUAAUCUUUAACCGGAGGAUAGCUAACCGUCAGAUAGACUGAUGUGACAUUUUCGUUUUCACCAAGUUCUGGUUACUUAACUUAUGGUUAGUUUGAUCUCUGUAAUCUGAUAUUUCCAUACAAUUUAGUUUUCUGUUUCCUUUUUUUAAAUUUUUUUUUUUGCAUAAUAAAUGUUAAUUUUAAUGAA